rnacentral:piRNA from 1 species
UGAAUGGGUGGUUACACAAAUGCUGU